CAUGGGGCUGCCCACUCUGGAGUUCAGUGAUUACUACUUGGACAGCCCGGAUUUUAGGGAGCGCUUGCAGUGUCACCAGAUUGAGCUGGAGCGAACCAACAAGUUCAUCAAGGAGCUCAUUAAGGACGGCUCUCUGCUCACUGGGGCGAUCUGUCUAUGGCAGUGCAGAAAUUUUCCCAGUCAUUACAAGAUUUCCAAUUUGAAUGUAUUGGUGAUGUUGAAACAGAUGAUGAAAUUAGUAUUGGUCAGUCACUAAAAUAAUUUGCAAGACUACUCAUUGCAGUAGAAGAAAAGCGAAGACUGACCCAAAACGCUAAUGAUGUAUUAAUUGCACCACUUGAGAAACUUCAAAAAGAACAGAUAGGUGCAGCAAAAGGUGGAAAGAAGUUUGACAAAGAGAGUGAAAAAUAUUUCUCUAUCCUUGAAAAGCAUUUAAAUUUAUCUGCAAAGAAAAAGGAGUCUCAUUUGCAAGAGGCAGAUACACAAAUUGAUUGAGCACAUCAGAACUUCUAUGAAGCAUCAUCAAGAAUAUGUCUUUAAAAUUCAAGAGGUUCAAGAAAAACAGAAGUUUGAAUUUGUUGAACUGCUUUUGUCAUUUCUUCAGGAUUUAUUUACUUUUUUACCCCGAGGGAUAUGAACUUGCCCAGGAAUUUGCACCAAAUAAGCAACAGCUGCAGUUCGACUUGCAGAAUACAAGGAAUAAUUUUGAAAGUACUUGACAAGAGGUAGAGGGGUUGAUGCAAAGGGUGAAAUCUGCAAGGCUAUCUGCAUGUCCAGGAGAAAUGACCACUUGGUUUUACAUGGAUUAAACAGCCUUGUUACUAGCUCACCGGAAAUGUUCAAAAUCUUGUAUCCGACGAAAGACAGAUUCAAUUGACAAACAAUUCUGCUUCGACAUACAAGUAGUUGAAAGCCAUGGGAUCAUCACAUUACAGGCCUUCUCAGAAGCUAAUAGGAAACUCUGGCUUGAAGCCACGGAUGGGAAGGAACUGAUUUAUACUCUGCCUGACAUUAUAAGCAAGAAAGAAGAAAUGUAUUUGAAUGAAGCAGGGUUCAAUUUUGUGAGAAACUGCAUUCAAGCUGUGGAAACCAGUGGUAUCACCAUUUUAGGCCUCUACUGAAUAGGAGGAGUGAACUCCAAAGUUCAAAAACUCAUGAAUAUCAUAUUUUGUCCUAAAUCCCCUCCUGAUAUUGAUAUUGAACUGUGGGACAAUAAGACAAUAAUGAGUGGGCUGAAAAACUACCUCAGGUGCUUUGCAGCACCACUGAUAACUUACAAGUUACACAAAGAUUUGUAUCAUUGCUGUUAAAUCUGAUGACCAAAACUACAGGGUGGAGGCUGUACAUGCAUUGGUGUGCACAUUGCCAGAGAAAAACAGAGAGAUGCUGGACAUCUUAAUAAAACAUCUGGUCAAAGUAUCACUGCACAGCCAACAAAAUCUCAUGACUGUCUAAAAUCUUGGUGUCAUAUUUGGCCCAACUCUAAUGAGAGCACAAGAAUAAACUGUGGCUGCUAUGGUGAAUAUUAAAUUUCAGAAUAUUGUGUAGAAAUUCUGAUAGAGCACAGUGAAACGAUUUUUCAUACUGCUCCAGACCCAAGCAUUCCUCUUCCUCAGCCUCAGUCUCGAUCUGGAUCCCAAAGGACAGCCUCAGUCUCGAUCUGGAUCCCAAAGGACAUGAGCAAUCUGCCUCUCUACAGGCUCUAGGAAGCCCAGAGGGAUGUGUACUCCAUGCCUGGCUGAACUUGAUAGUGAUUCCUAUAGCAGCAGCACAGACAGCACCCCCAUGGGGAGCAUCACGUCACUCUCUUCUCUUUCCUCAGAACAAAAUAGCACUACAAAGUCAGCUUUCUGCCAGCCCAGGGAGAAAUCUGGAGGGAUUCCUUGGAUUGCAACCCAAUCUUCCAAUGGACAGAAAAGCCUUGGUCUCUGGACAACUAAUCCUGAAUCAAGUUCUAGAGAAGAUGCAACCAAGACAGAUGCAGAAUCAGAUUGCCAGAGUGUUGCUUCGGUCACUAGCCCAGGGGAUGUUUCCCCACCCAUAGACCUAGUCAAGAAAGGGCCUUAUGGGCUUUCAGGACUGAAAAGAGCUUCUGCUUCUUCUCUCAGAUCCAUCUCUGCAGCUGAAGGAAACAUUAGCUACAGUGGAUCUAUUCAAAGCUUAACUUCUGUAGGUUCCAAGGAGACACCCAAAGCUUCAAACCCAGACCUGCCUCCAAAAAUGUGCAGGAGGUUAAGACUAGACACCACCUCAAGCAAUGGCUAUCAGCGUCCUGGCUCAGUAGUGGCAGCAAAAGCUCAACUGUUUGAAAAUGUUGGUUCACCUAAGCCAGUUUCUUCUGGGCACCAAGCCAAAGCCAUGUACUCCUAUAAAGGAGAGCACAGCGUGAGCUUUCCUUCCCACAAAGAGUGAUAUUUUCCAGUGUGGACCCAUCAGUGGAACCAGGAUGGUUAAAGGCAGCUUAUGAAGGCAAAACGGGACUAGUUGCAGAAAAUUAUGUUGUCUUCC
rnacentral:lncRNA from 1 species